UUCCUAUUGGUUUUAUAUUAGGUAUGACCUGCCCACUGAUGUUUUAAAUGGCCGCGGUAAUUUGACCGUGCGAAGGUAGCAUAAUCAUUAGUCUUUUAAUUGUUGACUUGUAUGAAUGGUUGCACAAGAAACUUGCUGUCUUUAUUUUAUUUUUUGAAAUUAAAUACUAGGUGAAAAUGCUUAGAUAUUUAUAUGGGACGAGAAGACCCUAUAGAGUUUAAUUUUUCUGGUGGUUUUUUUGUUUGUUUUUAUAUUUAACUGCUAGUAGUAUUUUGUUGGGGUGAUUGAAAGAUUUAUUUAACUCUUUUUUUUUCUUAUUAUUUAUUUAUAAUUUUUUGAUCCUUUAUUAUGGAUUAUUAGAAAAAUUACCUUAGGGAUAACAGCGUAAUCCUUCUUGAGAGUUCUUAUUGAUGGUAGGGGUUGCGA
rnacentral:rRNA from 1 species